rnacentral:snRNA from 1 species
GGACGAGGGGGAAGUAAUCUGGCUUUGACAUCUGUCACUCCCUUGUCUGCAGGGCUGAUUUUAUCUGAUUAACUAGUUAGAAAUGUGUCACCUUCCUCCCUCACUGUUCCAUAUGUGGCCUGCCUCAAACUGUAAGGCAAAAGAGAUGAGCUUCUAAGCUCUAUCUGGACUCCUCUUUGGUCAAAGGUAUCUGAAUAGCUGAAUUAUUUUAAUAGAAAAUCUGAAUGUGGAAUUGCAGUUUAAAGCAGCCCAAAUACCUGUUUUCAUAGCUGAGGAGAGAUUCUAACAUGCAGAAUAUGUC